rnacentral:lncRNA from 1 species
AAUAUAUGUAUAUUUUUUUAACAGAGGGAAAGUUGAAACUGGAGAAUCCCUUAAAAUCCCAACAAGUUAUAAGGCUGCUUCAAUGAAAGGUAAUCAAACAAUUUAUUUUGUCAAAUUAUUUUCUGAAUGAUAAUUCUUAAUUAUGAUCUAACUACAUCAAAUAUUUGAUUUCUGGGUUUUGAUUCUUAUGAAUUAGCUAGGUAGAUACUGCUCAUAUUUGUAUGUUGUUCAUAUAUAUAUAUAUAUAUAUAUAUAUAUAUAUAUNNNNNNNNNNNNNNNNNNNNNNNNNNNNNNNNNNNNNNNNNNNNNNNNNNNNNNNNNNNNNNNNNNNNNNNNNNNNNNNNNNNNNNNNNNNNNNNNNNNNNNNNNNNNNNNNNNNNNNNNNNNNNNNNNNNNNNNNNNNNNNNNNNNNNNNNNNNNNNNNNNNNNNNNNNNNNNNNNNNNNNNNNNNNNNNNNNNNNNNNNNNNNNNNNNNNNNNNNNNNNNNNNNNNNNNNNNNNNNNNNNNNNNNNNNNNNNNNNNNNNNNNNNNNNNNNNNNNNNNNNNNNNNNNNNNNNNNNNNNNNNNNNNNNNNNNNNNNNNNNNNNAACUCACUCGAGCUCACCCUCCUUUAGCGACGGACACGGCGACGGUUCGGUAAUACAACCGUCGUCUAUAUUUUUAGCAAUGGACAACAUAUAGCGUCACUAAAAGUAUAGACGAUGGUUGUAUGACCGAACCGUCGCCAGGUCCGUCGCUAAAGAAGAGAUGAGUUCGGGUGAGUUGGAUAAGGAGUGAACUUAAGAACCGGACCGUAUAUAUAUAUAUAUAUAUAUAUAUAUAUAUAAUUAAAAUUUUAAUUGCAAUAUUACUCAAAAUUAAGUUUUCUAAUCAUUUUGCUUAGUAAUUCUAUUCAUAAUUAAUAAUUUUCAAGACUGAAACCUUUUAAUAAUUAUCUGGGCUCCAUAAAAAUGAGAUUGUAUUUAACUUGCAUAGAAUUUUGGGCAUCACUUGAACUAUUGAGAUUAUAACACUCCCUCCCUCUUAUAGACAUUUUAUAUAAUUUUAUUUUUUUCAAAUUAUUCCUCGUUUUAUAUAAUCUAGGAGAAUUAACUAUAAUCUUUCUAAAAUUAUCCCUCAUGAAAAAAUAUUAUAGAUUAGAGAUAAAAUAUGAGAUAAGUAUGGUAAUUAUGAGAAUUUAAGGGUAGUAUAGACAAUUGAUAUUGUAAGUCAUUUUAGAGUUGUGCACAAGUAUUAAGAAAAUAAUUGUAUAGUAUUAAAUAUGAUAUAAUUUGCCUAUAUUGUCCUUGUAUUAUAAAAAUAUAUUAUUUAUUAAGCAAAAAAUAGUAAGAGAACCAAAAUUAUAUUUAAUACUUGAAAUAAUAUCGAAAACUAAGCAAUUAAUACUUAUUUAAAAUUAUCAAAUGACAUAUCAAAAGAUAAAAACACUUCUCUGAAAUAAGUUAAAAUAAUAAAUGUCCACAUAUAUAAUCGUAUGUAUUGAUUGAAGUUCAUAUAUAAAGUUAAGAGUCCUUUUACAUGGAUAUUUUUAUAGGACAUGUUUAUUGGAUAUUUUCAAAAAAUUUUUAUUUAUAAUUUUUAAAAAAUGUAUAGUUUUUAUUUUAAUAAUUUUUUUUAGAAAAUAUAAUAUUUUAAAUAUAAUUUGAAUAUAUAUACAAAAACAGGACCUAGAGUUAUUCUAAAGCUAAUAUAUUUAUGUGCAAAUAGAGUGUAGACUCUGUAGAAGAUAGUAGCCUAGUUGAACGGAUCGUUUCUUAUAUAUAUAUAUAUAUAUAUAUAUGUAUAUAGUGACGACAAUUUUUUAGGAUAUAAUGACGGUUAAGCCUAUUGUCAUAGUUAUUUUGGACUACGAUGACUAGUGAACCGUUGUUAUAGUCCAAAAAAUUCGUCGGCAUAGCCCAAUUAUAUAAUAUACAGUUAUAUAUAUAUAUAUAUAUAUAUAUAUAUAUAUAUAUAUAUAUAUAUAUAUAUAUAUAUAUAUAUAUACACACACACAAAGACGUGGUUUGAGUUUCACCAACUGUACUUUAGAUCAUCAUUUUCUCUUUUGCGGAGUUGAUAUAGUAAAAAGAUUUCUCAAGGCCAAAUAAAUUGAAAAUAUAAUGUUUAUUAUUGUAAAUUAUUGAAAAAGUAUUAUUAUUUUAAGAAUAAUAUUUUUUGCAUUCUGAAUUAUAUGAUCAAUUUUAAAAGUCAACAUGAAAUAUUUUUAUACUCAAAAUUGAGAUAAUUUAUUAAAAAUUAUAAAUCAAUAAAUAAUACCUUUUAAUAUUCAUAAAUAUAUUGACAGAAACUGAAAAAAUUCAUAUUAAUUUUAAAUUUAAAAAUAUCUUAAACUAAUUUUAAAAAAUAAAUGAUGAUGUAGUAUUAUAUUUUAAAAUGAAGGAAGUAAUUAUUUUCAAAAAUCACAUUAAAAGAUUACUUUUAAGUUUUUAAAAUAUAAAAUAAUUGACAGGUUGAUUUUAAAAAGUUAUCAUAGAACUCUUUUUUUGAAACGAAGAGGGCAUAAAAUUUGGUCAAAAAGAUUGAGCUAUCUAACAGAAGUACUCAAGCAAUCACGUGGUCUUGAUUAGACAAUACAUAGGCUGGGCUCCAAUGAGCUAUGAACAAAGUACUAUAAUUUGUAUAUAUAUUUAAAAAAAUUCCUAUUUAUUCUGAGUGGCACUAUAAGAUUAUUAUUAUAUAAAAUGACCAGUAUUCUAAUUUUUAUAUUAAUAAAUCUCAUUAAAUGAUAUUUAUUUUUAUAUUAAUGUACUUUAUUUUAUUUUUUUGAGAAUUAAAAAAUUUGUAUAUUUAGUCAUUAUUUUGGGGAAGAAAGGAAUAAUUGAUCCAUAACAAUUGAUUAGAAUCUAGCAUUUCAAUAUCCUGUCAGCGGAUGGUGAUACUAUGAUGAUGAUUAUGAUAUUUGUAUAAGUUAAUCUCUUCGUAUUUAAAUAAGUGACGUUUUAAAAGAAAAAAUUUAUUUUAAUUUAGUUAUCGUUUAUAACUUUUUAAGAGAAUAAAUUAUUUAUUUUUUUAUAUUACCCUUACCUUCUCUCAUUGUUCUAAAAAAUUCUUACCCAUAGUAUUAAUAGUUUUUAACUUUCCAUAAAGAGGUAGUGAUAAAAUUUUAUACAUAUUUUAAUUAUUAAAUGGUAGUAUUAAAUGACUUUCUUAAUUCAUGUGCAAAAAUCUUAAACGAUACUUAUUUAGGAACGGAAGGAGUAAUAUACUCCCUCAAUUCCUAAAUAAGUGACGUUUUAGAAAGAAAAAUUUGUUCUAAUUUAUUUGUCGUUUACAACUUUGUAGGAGAAUAAAUUAUUUACUUUUCAAUAUCACCCUUAUCUUCUCUCAUUGUCCCAAGAAAUUCUCACCAUUAGUAUUAAUAUUUUUCAACUUCUCAUAAAGGGAUAGUGAUGAAAUUUAACACAGAUUUUAAUUAUUAAAUGAUAGUAUUAAAUAAUUUUCUUAAUCAAUAUCCAAAAAUCUUAAAAGACACUUAUUUAAAAAUGGAGGAAAUAUUUAAUUGGGUUUUGAGCAGAGAGAAUCAGCGAUGUGACUGGUUGAUUAUCGAGAUAAGUAAAAUAUGAUAGUAAAUCGAGAAUAAUUUUGUCCAACUAAAAUUUUGUACAAUAAUUUUGUCAUCCGUUUAAGGACAAAUUUUUUAUCACUUAAGUCGUCUUUUUGGGAACGAGCUCAAAUAUACGUAAAUAAUUGAUGUUCCACAGAAUAUGUAUGGAUGGAUUUUGAGGAACACAAUAAAGAAAUAAAUUUAACUAAAUGAGAAUCGAACACGAAACCUAAAAGUAUCAGUAUCUCAAUCUUAAUCACUAGACUAAGACUUCAUCAAUGAAUUCUAGCUAUUUACUUGAAGAAACCCACUUGAAUCCAAAUACUCUUCCCUAAAUAACGUAAUGCCAAUAUUAUGCAUAUGUACAACUCAAGCAAAAGUAGAAUUGUUUGCUUUAGAAAUUAGUUGAAAAUAGAUAAGAACGUUUACACAUCAAUAUCCUUUAAUUAUUGUUAAAAGUUGGUACUUUCAUUUUCUUAAGAGCCUGCCAGGACUAUAUAGUUUUUGGCCUAAGCUCUAAAUGAGUUUAUAUAAAAAAUUUAAAAAUAAAAAAAUUGUAAUCAAUUGGCACUUCGGUUCAUUCAGUAUCGAUGGUUCAACUGGUAAACCAAUUAUUGACCUAAUGACUCGAUUUUUUUAAUAUUAAAAUUAACUAUUUUAGUAAUAUUAUAACUCAAUUUUAUUAUGUUUUAAUUUAUAAAAAAUAAAAUUUUUAAUUAAUUAUUAAUAAUAUAUAUUUUUAUAUAUUAAUAAAUCAAUAACAGUUCGAUCACCGGUAUCGCAUUUAUGAAUCCGGUUAGCAUGAAGUGAAUUUCAUGAUAAAUUUAUUUCAUGAUCAAUAUAGUGUUAAUAUACAGACAGAGAGAUCACCCUCUCGCCUGUAUAUCAGCACUGCAUUGAAUAUGACUUUUUAUCUUAAUUUCCUGUGCCUAAUCAAAUCAACAUACAAUGAAUUUGACAUAUAUACCAGCUCAUAUGUAGCUAUAGUUCGAGUAUCAUAAGGUGAGAGGACAAUGAAAAACAACACAUGCUCGGACCGGUUAAAGUAUCAGUCAUGACUCCACUUUCUCCCCGACUUUAGAUUGGAAAAUCAAUAAUAAAAGUAGCCACUUUCUCCAUUUUAAUUGCACGCUCACAAUAGGACAAAAAACAAAGAUGAUCAAAGUCCAAUUUUCAAGAAUUCUCCACCACUUUUAAAAGUCAUAUGACUAGACUCGAACCACAUCAUCGUGAUUCAUAACAUAGUCGUCGGUGAUUAGGUAAUAGGUAAAAAUAAUGUUACUAUUACAAAAUAUUCACACACACACACACACACACACACACACACACACACACACACACACACACAUAUAUAUAUAUAUAUAUAUAUAUAUAUAUAUAUAUAUAUAUAUACAGAACCGAUCAAGUCAGGACUCUCUUAUUUUGUUAAAAUACGGACUUUUUUUUUGUUUUUUUUUAAAACAACUUAAAAAAAAUAUUUAAUAUUUUAUGGAACUGAUAUUUUUUUCAUAAUAUAAUGUUUUGGGCGUGAUUUGAAUACAUAUACCAAAAAAUAGUAGUACAGUCUGCACAGACUGUACAGACCUGUUUUGUUAUACAUAUCCAAAUCACAUCCAAAACAUUGUAUUAUGAAAAAAUUUCAGUUCCAUAAAAUAUUAAACUUUUUUUUUNNNNNNNNNNNNNNNNNNNNNNNNNNNNNNNNNNNNNNNNNNNNNNNNNNNNNNNNNNNNNNNNNNNNNNNNNNNNNNNNNNNNNNNNNNNNNNNNNNNNUACGGCUAGUAUAUAUAUAUAUAUAUAUAUAUAUAUAUAUAUAUAUAUAUAUAUAUAUAUAUUGCGGGCUCUACAUAUUAAGCGAGAGUUUACAAUAUACAUGUGUGUAUAUAAUCAUUAUAUGACCUUUUUAUAUAAUAGUAGCAUUGUUGAAUAGAUAAUACCACAAUCAAUUAAUAUAGGAAAUUAAUAUUUUCAUGAUAUUUUUUUUUGAUAUUUUAACAAUAAAAAUGUUGCUAUAGAUGUAUAGCGACGAUAAAAAUCGUUGUUAUAGGGUCUAUAAUAAUGAUUUUAUUAUGAAAAUAUUAUUUUUUAUUAUGAAUUUAUCAAUUUCCUAAAUAUAACCCAUCUCCAUCUCCAUUUUUUUGUUUUUUGCUUGGCUUUAUUCCAUCAAAAACAAAAUCUUCAUAAACUAAUUACAUUUGGAUCAAAAGCAGACUUUUUUAUAUAAGACCCCAAAUUAUUAAUAAAUAAAAUUUAUUUUUCUCUAUUUAUUAUUUUGAAAUAGUAAGGGUUGAUUUGAUUAAUAUGGAUAGUUAUGGGUAAAAUACGCAAAUAUUUUGAAUAAGCAAGUGGUUAUAAAAUAUUCAUUAUUGUCGGGGAAUAUUCGUUUGGUCGUGAAAUAUUCGUACUGUCGGGGAAUAUUCGUACGACGGCGCAGUCUUUUGUGGGCCCAUAAUGGAAAGCGAUUGGAUGAAGAAAACGACAAAUAUAAGUUGUUUAUAAAUAACGGCAUAGUUGUUACCGUUAAUACUGUUAGAAUAUCCGGUGUUUAAAACACACUAAUACGCGUUAUUGAACAGUAGCACACGGUAUUGCACCAAUUAUUGAUUCUUACGUAAGAAGGCACUACUCAAUAAUUGUUACAGUAAUUACUGUUCAGUAUUUUAUUUUAUUGAUUCAAUAAUUGCUGCAUUGAUAUUUUAUAUUACUGUUGUUUCAAUAAAUUGUCAUUACACAGUAUUUUCCAUUAUCGGAGCAAUAAUUCAUAUUAUCUGAAUAAUAUUAUUGGAUAACAUUAUUGGCAAUGUCUAGAAAGUUCUGUCUAAGGAGAGGUUUGGUCACCUAAUUGCGCGCCAGUAAGGAGAGAUCCUUAUUGGAAAGCCCCCUCUUUCCUGGGAACGGCCUGGUUGCCAGUACUGUGAUUCUGUAAUAUUAUUUGUGAAUAAUUAAUUAUUGAUUUAUAUGAUGAGGAAAAUAUUGAUUUUAUGUGGAUAUAGAUGGAGAAAAUUUUUAAUGUGACAAUUGUUGAAAAUUAAUAUUUUAUCUUUUUCUGAUAAAAUAAUUCAUUUAAAUAUAUUAUUUUAAUAAUAUAUUAACGGUGAUAUUUUUAUAAUGAAUGUGGGAUAUAUGAGUAUAUGAGGAGGAAGAGUAUUUUUGUGGCAUUAAAUGUUUAACACAUAUUUUGUGUGUUGGUGGACACAAUUAUUGACCGAAAUUUGAUUAUAGCCUGUAAAAUCGCCCGUUUGUGGAUUUCGGUCAAUUUCUGUUUGGAAUUUGGAAAAACUUUCUUCUGCAAAGUUGUAGAGAAUUGAAUUUCCUAUAAAAACUCGCGAGAUUCGAAUUUUCUGAUAAAAGGGCUAUUUAUUAUGAAUUAUUGAAGUUCCGAAGUUCCGAAAUAAUUGAUUUUUGGAAGUUUAAAAUAUUUUAAAUUACAAAAACAUUUUUUUCAUUAUGGUGUGUUACACAUGUGUGUUGAAUGAGCUGAAUUCAGUUCUUGGAAGGUUGGCGUAGGAAAAUUUAAUUUAUAUAUUAAUAUUAUAUUAAAUUUUCUGCUUUGGUGUUCUAAGCAUUUUCCUAUAAAUAGGGUGCUUAGGUUAGAAUUGAAAAUCACACCAGAAACUGAAGUUUUCUCUCUCUAUAUUAUCGAGCGUAUUCUUGUGAGUAUUUUGAGUAUACUUUGAGUAUUGCUAUACGGUGCAAGUUCAAGUCAUAGCCUAUAUCCGGUGUUUCAACUAGAAGUACUGUCUUUCGAGGUAAGGGAUGUUAUUUUAUUCGAAAAUGAUAUUAUUUCUUCAAUAUCAUUAUGCCGAAAUAUUGGUUGGAAAUUUUUAUCAAAUUUGGAACUUUUUCAUGUCGGGGUUACUAUUCAUGAGUUACUAUUCACGAGUUACUAUUCAUGAGUUACUAUUCACGAGUUACUAUUCACGAGUACUAUUCACGAAGCGUGAAGAUGUUUUUUGUGAAAUUUCUAUCUUUUGGUGUCGGAGUUACUAUUCACGUAUACGGCACUAUUCACGUAUACGGCACUAUUCACGAAUACGGCACUAUUCACCGAAAAAUGAAAUUUCUUCUUUUUGUCCAAAAUAUCUAUUAUGGAUACUAGCUUUGAUUGUAUCCAUGUUUUGAUCAUUCUUGAAUUUUACACCACUAUGAUUAUUUUUGAGGUAUUUUUGGACGUGGAUAAAACAAAGUACGAAUCCUUAAUCCUUAAUCCUUGUCAUUUUGUUUCACUGGAUUCGUUUCUUUAAAAAAAUUUUUCAUCAUCCUCAGUCUUAAAUGAUGAUAUUAUUGAAUAUCUUUGGCCUGUAGUGCAAAGAUGAAUGAUUUCUGAUGAAUAUCUUUGGCCUGUAGUGCAAAGAUGAAUGAUUUCUGAUGAAUAUCUUUGGCCCGUAGUGCAAAGAUGAACAGGUGUUUAGAUGAACAUGACCAACUGAUGAAUAUCUUUGGCCUGUAGUGCAAAGAUGAAUAUUUGAUUCCAGAUAUAUAUUGAUUGAUGUUACAGGGAUAAAAGAUAGACGAUGAACUUUUAAAUUCAUACAUAGAAGAUAGUAGUUUGCAUUCUCUACUUAACUCUUCUAAUGAAUUAUUAUUUCCGCUGCGAAUAUUGAUUUAAAACUUGUUGUCUAUUGUAUUCUAUUAGAUUUUUCCCUGUUGAAGACUAACGAUAAUUUGUUGUAUAUUAUCUUAGUCAUAAUAUUCUUUACUGGGCUAGUUGAGCUCACCCUUUUCCUUUUUGUUCCAUUUUUCUUCUCAGGAGGCGAGAAUAUAGCGAGUACGAGUCGGGGUAUGGAAUGAAGGUUCUAGAGAGAGUUGUUUAGUAGUCCUCACCAUUUUUGUAAAAUAAUGUAUCAAUAAUUAUGAUGGGGAUUUAUUUGCGUGUGGAUAUUGUCUAGACGGCAAUAUCUGUAUUUAAACUCACAGUUUAUAUGUUGUAAUAAUAAAGUUGUAGUUAUUUUUGUACCAUGUAUUUGACGACUUAGAAUGAAUUGGAUGGAAUGAACCUAUUUUGGGGGCGUCAUAUUUUAUACAAAAUAUAAAAUAAUUCAG